ACAACCUAAUAAAAGCCUUAAUUAGGGGACACAUGUCCACCUCCUAGGGCCUCUAAAUCUCAUUUUCCCGCCAAAAAGUUCAUUCUCCUCAUUUCCCUUGAAUAACCCGACACGGGAUCCAGCAACGAAUUCGGGUCCUCAUUAUUCGGACCAUAUUUAAUAGAACAAACUGAUCAACUUUUCCAUUCACCUUUCUUUUCUUAUACUCUUUGUGAUUUUAGGGUUUUUUUACCUUUCUAUCGUUCGAUUCUUCAUCAGAUCUAAUAACGAUUCUUGAAACAUCGACGGUAUGUAUGUUAUUCCUCUAAUACGUAAUCUUUGAAUCUGUAAUUUUAUUUGUUCUUAUUACUGAUUUUAGGGUUUUUUUCCUUUCUAUUGUUGGAUUCUUCAUCAGCUCUUAUACCGAUUCUUCGAACAUCGACGCUCUUAUACCGAUUCUUCGAACAUCGACGGUUUUGAAUAUGACGGAAAGUUCAUCAAGCAUGUGCCACCUUUUGUACAUCCAUCAAAGUUAUCAAAUCCAUUUGAUCUCAACGAAUUACCUUCAGUUCAAGCUGUAACAGAUAGGUGGCAGCGAUUUGGAGAUGAGAUUUUGAUUUUGGUGGAAAAAUGUUAUGGUGAAUAGUUUUUAUUUGGUGGACCUACUCUGUGUUUACACAAAUGGCUGAACACAAACCCUAAACUUCAUCUUCAUCGCCAUUUCGACUACCUUUCUAUCCACAAUGGAAUAAGGUUUGUUAAUCACCUGAGUUUGAUCAGGGAUAAAGAAGUCGUUGUAAAUGAUUAGCAGGGCACAAUGAUCGUAGAAGAAAGUUAACAACUUUAUUCGCCCUGUUUUUGGUUAGAUGUCAAAGAUUCAUAAUUGCUUUUGUUUCCAAAAUGGAUUAGUUUGGU
rnacentral:lncRNA from 1 species